AAGGAGGUGGAGCUGGGCAGGCAGGGAAAGCCUCCAAGGCUCCCAGGGAGGAGGAAAGAAACCCAGGGAAAAAAUGCUUUACCUCCAGGUGAUCUGGGCUGGUUGGUGUGCUCCUUCCUGCCUGGCUCAAGGGGCUGGACAAUUUCAAUUUUCUACUGGAUGCUGAGGGAUUCGAAGCAGGAGUCCCAUUGACUCAACUCACAGGUUUGGUGUGCUUAGGCAGCAGCCUGGUGGAAAAGAAGACAAAGGAUGGAAAUAUAUUUAUAGCAUGAGCAACUUGGUCCUCAUUGAUAUGUUCACUGCAACCCAGAGAAUUAAUGGCUCUGUAAAUGAGCCACUGAAAUGGUAAGAGUUAUCUACAUAUUCCAUUUAUUUUAUAAUAGCUGUUAAUCUUACACGGCCUGAUUUGAUAAAACAGAUCAUCAAAUCUUGAUUUUUGUGUGCUUAAUUUAACCUGUAAUUAACUGUGCAUUAUACAUGUAAAUUGAAUUCAGAAGUCUCUAAAAGUAAAUGUGGAUGGGGCUACAGUCUAAAAACAAGCAUACAAAGCUACUGCUGAAUUCCUUCCCAUGUGCGAAAAAGGGCCAGUUGGUGAUAAUAGAAACAGCUUGUGCCAGUGGGUUCCCAGAGAAGGUGAGGAGGAAAGGGAGGUAGUAGCCUAAUAGGCCACAUCUGUCAGAGCCUCUUGUCCCAUCGUGUUCCUUCUGGGCAAAUUCUGCUGUGAUGAAGUUUAGUUGCUUUCAUGGCUCAAAGGGCAAAGAGAGCCAGGAAG